UACAGAGGGGGCAAGCGUUGCUCGGAAUUACUGGGCGUAAAGGGCGCGUAGGCGGCCUGCUAAGUCGAACGUGAAAUCCCUGGGCUCAACCCAGGAACUGCGUCCGAUACUGGUUGGCUUGAAUCCGGGAGAGGGAUGUGGAAUUCCAGGUGUAGCGGUGAAAUGCGUAGAUAUCUGGAGGAACACCGGUGGCGAAGGCAAUCCCCUGGGCCUGCACUGACGCUCAUGCACGAAAGCGUGGGGAGCAAACAGG
rnacentral:rRNA from 1 species